GUUUUUUAUUAUGUGUGUGUGUUUGUGUAGUACACUGCAUGAUGUAACUUGUGUUGAUCACUCUUUCAAACAGUGAAAACGGUCCUUUAGGAUAUAUUUAAACUUUCUUACUGUGCUGCAGCUUCCAGAACCUCCUGGCAAGAUGGUGAAGAUGUAGACAGAAAGACCAGAACAAGUUGGAUGAACCUGAAGAGUGAGAUGGAUGGACAGUCUCCAGAUCUGGACCCCAGGACCUCCACCCACAGCUUACCCACCGAUAUGUCUCAACCCAACUUCCCAUAUAAUAAGUCUGCUUCGCUGCCAGGAUAUGGGCGGAACGGAAUAUACAAGGCGGCUGAUCUUGGCGAGGAUGAUGGCGAUCAUGACUCAUCCUGGAGUGGAAUGAGAGGUGAG